AAAAAGACGGACUUCAGAGUAUUUUUCAGUAUACCAAAACGCAAAGCAGAGCAGGCAACAGAUGGCACACAGACAGCAGAGUUGGGGACAGAUAUGCAGGGACAGACUGGCAGAGACAGGGAGUCUCAGGGGUGCGUAACCGGUGGCAGGGAAGUCAGACGCAGGAGAGCAGAACUUGGUAAUAGCCGGAGCAGUUUAAUAGCAAAACCAACGGCAUAAAAAUAACAAGAUAUGGGUACAAAAACCUGUCGCGCACCAAUCAACACGUGCACAAGCACUUACAAUAAACAAUCCCACACAAAGACAUGGGGGGAACAGAGGGUUAAAUACACAACAAGUGACUGAGGGAAUUGAAACCAGGUGUGAGGAAAAACAAGACAGAACACAUGGAAAAUGAUAAGUGGAUCGAUGAUGGCUAGAAGACCGGCGACGCCGACCGCUGAACGCCGCCCGAACAAGGAGAGGACCCGACUUCGGCGGGAGUCGUGACAGUCUUUUAAACUAUCAAAAUAAAGAAAGUCGCACACUGC
rnacentral:lncRNA from 1 species